rnacentral:rRNA from 1 species
UACGACUACAUAUCAGGCAUAUCAAUAAGCGGAGGAAAAGAAACUAACAAGGAUUCCCUUAGUAACGGCGAGUGAAGCGGGAAGAGCUCAAAUUUGAAAUCUUCAAGGUUUUACCUUGACAAAUUGUAGUUUAAAGAAGUGUUUUCUGUUGAAGUUUCGGUAAAAGUUCUUUGGAAUAGGACAUCAUAGAGGGUGAGAAUCCCGUAUUUGACCGUUAUUUUCAGCUGUGUGAUACACUUUCAAAGAGUCGGAUUGUUUGGGAAUGCAGUCCAAAAUGGGUGGUAAAUUUCAUCUAAAGCUAAAUAUUGGCGAGAGACCGAUAGCGAACAAGUACCGUGAGGGAAAGAUGAAAAGAACUUUGAAAAGAGAGUUAAACAGUACGUGAAAUUGUCAAAAGGGAAGCGUUUGACACCAGUGUUGUUUUCUCGAAAAUCAAUUAAAAAUAAAUUUGAUUUUGUGUUGUAUUGACCUUAAAAGCUUUCUUCACUUUUUUCAUGUUUAUUUUUAAUGCACUUUUCGUUUAACAAGUCAACAUCAGUUUCUUUUGUUGUAAAAAGGUCAUUGGAAGGUGGCUUUCUUUUCGGAGAAAGUGUUUAUAGCCUUUGACUCCUGCAAUCGGAGAGACUGAGGUCUGCAGCGUAGAUCCUUCUGGAUUAGAUUCAUUUGUGCUAAGUUAUAGCUUUUCAUAGACAACUUGUUGACUAUGUUUAGUCAUUGUAGCUUACUCGCUUAUGUAAUUUUACCUACGCUUAGGAUGUUGAACGCGCACAGAGUCUC